ensembl:lncRNA
CUCACAUCCAUUCCCUCCUGUGUCGGUCCUGCCUCGGUUCAGUCCUUCCAUAGACUGUUGCCUGGAGUAUUAUAUGAUCUCCUGGUUGGUCUUCCUUUCUCCAGCCUCUCCGGGCCUGAUCCAUCCUCCGCACUGUUGCAGAUCUGAUUAGACCCCUUCCUGUUGGAUAAUUGUCCUGUCACAGUCAUCAGACUGCCAAGACUGGCACACAGGCCUUCCUGCACGAGCACUUGAUUCAGUUCUGCAGACUGGCCCUUCUUCCUCUGUCUGGCCAACAUCCAUUUCACCUUCAUAUUCUAAAAAUGAGGUAGAACUCAGCGUUGCCCGGAACACUAUGCCAUUUCACACCUUCACGCCUUUGCUUCUGCAGUGCCUGACAUUUGGAGCGUUCUUCCCCACCUUCAGAUUGAGAUCUCAGAACAUUUUAUCAGCUCAUCUGUGAAGACCUGGUUGCUGCUCCCUCCCGGCGUAGAACAACCUCCUCUGUGUGAUCGCAUCGGGACUACUUCCCCUACAGCACCUGCCGCAGGCAUCAGCUUUACCUGUACCUGUCUGUGAACCCCUUGAGGUUCAGGAGGCUGGAGUCGGAGAUCAGGGUCCCAGCAUGGUCCGGUUCUGGGAGGACUAGCAGGCUCCCAGGAGUCUGUAAACACUGCCCGCCACCCACCAUGUCCCCGGGGAAGCCUUGACCGGCUAUGUGGACAUCAGUGCAUCGUUUCCCAAAGCAGCAAAUCUCCCCAGGCUGCAGGAGGCCCAGGAAGACGGGAAGAUGGAAUCACAGCCCCUCCAGCUCUUCAGCUCUGCGUUGUGAAUUCUGGGGAUAAUGUAUCUUCUUUUCUCCCCUGAUUGCUCCUGAAAUCUCCUGCCUGUUUAUCAAAUCUGAGUGCUUCACUGCCCUUGGCUCUUUAGCUCUGUCUGUGCGCCUCUUCUCUAGAAGAGGGAAACAGGCGUGCUCUUGGGGGAUUUCCAUCCAGUGCUGAGGACAAGAAGGCCAGUUUCAAUGAGGCUGUCCCCAUGUCACCAGGGGAGCAAGCAGAUGGGUGGUCUUUUGGGACAUGAGGCAGGAGGGCCUCAGAAAGUACCUGACACCCCUGUCUAGGCUGGACUGAGGCUAAUCUCCCAGAAAGGAAAGUCCCCUCCUCACACUCCACUCCCCCAACAGAACCCGGUCAAGUGAGCUGAGGCGCAUUCAUUCAUUAACUCCACAGGUAUAGCGCCAGGUAACAAACAAGUAUGGUGCCAAUGCAAGGGAGUAAACGCCAGCACAGGGCCUCGUGAGCUGCUGUGGUGGCCAAAGCAGAGGGGAAUCAAAGUUAGGGUUGGAGAGAGAUGUCCCCUGACCUUGAUCUUGGAGGAGGCAUGGGAAAUGGGUGGAGGGUGUAUUUGUACACAAAAGUCCAGGCAUGUUCAAAGGCAUAAAGGUGUGACUGUUUAAUCUUAGGGUGACUGGAUGGCAGGUCAGGAGCAUAGGUAGGGAGGGAGUCAGAUAUCACUGGAGGCUGGGCUAUGAGGAGCUACUCAAAGCUGUACAGCAAGGGCCUGGCAGGGUCAUGCUAGAAAGACCAGUGUCUGCAGUGAAUGAAAUGAAGGGGAGAACACAUGCAGGCCGAGCAGCUGGUGGAAGAGAACUUGGCCUAAGGCAGAGGCGGGGAUGGACUGGGGAACGGGAGAGCGGUG